CCGGAUACUGGUGGCUGCCAGCAGUCCUUGGCUUGGAGGUUGCAGCUAAGUUUUUCCCAUGCCACAUCUCAUCAAAUCCUCAGAACAGCACAGAAUCGAUGGGCAUGAUCCUCAUCCCCACCUGACAG